rnacentral:rRNA from 1 species
UGGGGAAUAUUGCACAAUGGGCGAAAGCCUGAUGCAGCGACGCCGCGUGGGUGAUGAAGGCCUUCGGGUUGUAAAGCUCUGUCUUCUGGGACGAUAAUGACGGUACCAGAGGAGGAAGCCACGGCUAACUACGUGCCAGCAGCCGCGGUAAUACGUAGGUGGCAAGCGUUGUCCGGAUUUACUGGGCGUAAAGGAUGCGUAGGCGGAUACUUAAGUCAGAUGUGAAAAUCCCGGGCUUAACUUGGGAACUGCAUUUGAAACUGGGUAUCUAGAGUGCGGGAGAGGAAAGUGGAAUUCCUAGUGUAGCGGUGAAAUGCGUAGAGAUUAGGAAGAACACCAGUGGCGAAGGCGACUUUCUAGACCGUAACUGACGCUGAGGCAUGAAAGCGUGGGGAGCAAAC